AUUCUGGGGAAGGAGUAUCUACGUCUUUCACAGAAACACACAAGACCGGGACCUCUCCCCAAGUAAUCCCCCGCUUGCCCCAGUGAGACGAAGGGAACCAGAUCUGCGAACCACGCGAACGCUACCAGCACCAGAUGCCGCGGAACAGCAACCCGGACCCUGUGACUUCACAAGAAGGAGUUACAGGCAGCUCAUGAAGUGAACAGCGGGCGUCCCUAAACCUAUCCGAAUGAGUGGUUGCAGGAAAAGGAGGUUGAGUGAAAAAGGUUAUCCAACUAUACUGCUCUUCCUUGUGGAAACAAUCCCUUAUGAUACGAUACGGUUUUUCCCAAGCCUUGAUUAUCGUUGCCCUUGAAAGGACAACAUUUUCUCUGCCCACCGGAAAUCGCGCUUAGUUUAAACUAAAAUGUGAGAUUGCAUAAUUUCUCGGGAUGGGGCAGGCGGAUAGGGGGCGGCUCGCGGAACAGUUGAUCUU
rnacentral:lncRNA from 1 species